ACCUUGUUAGUCUGUGGGCUUAUUUGAAAUUUGAGGAGAUAACAGAAGCAGAAAAGCAUUUAAAAGGCCACAAACCAGCGCAUCUGCUGAACUACUCAGAUACACCUGCAACUACAGCAAAAGUCGGCUACAGCAAAGCAAGUCCGCUGUCAGGCUCGAAGAUACACCUGUCUGCCACAAUGAAGAUCUUCAUAGCCUUCACUUUGCUGGCCAUUCUCAGCGUGCUUGCAGUUCUACACUUCGCAAGUGCAGAGGAAGGACCGCACCAGCACCAUCGAGUCUCCCGUGAUGCCGGUUGUCCAGACUUGAACGCCUGCACGAAAAAGUGCCAAAGUGAAGGUCAUCGCACGGGCACUUGCUUAGGACUACGUAGGUCUGCCUGCCACUGCGUAAAUUAGGUUUGACUUUUAUGAACAUGAAAAUAAAAAAAACUUUCGAGUCUUGCGCACGCA